rnacentral:lncRNA from 1 species
UUUUCAUAAACAAUUCUUAUCUACAAGAAAAUUUAUAAAGAUAUUUGCCAGAAAGAUUUUAUCAAAUCUAAACUGUCUUGACGUGCACACCAAGUUAUCAAUAAUCAAUAACAACUUAAUAUAGUAUAUCUUGAAAAUAGAUAUUUCUUUUUGCCUACCAAGAUUUCCUCCCUUAUUUUUCUACUACGUUUUUAAUCGACUAUCCAUCUACGUUCAUAAUCUUUUAGAUCUUAAAUUCAUAUAACAACUCCAACAGAAUAUGGUAAUCAGAAUAUCCUAUCGAAUUUAACUAUAUGGAAAUCAAAUCAAAUCUUCAGCACCCUAUCAUUAAACCUAAAGGUUUAGUACAUCUGUAUAAAUAAUAAGACGAUCAACUAAUACCUCCUAUAUCCGCAAAAAAAAAACAUACACUCAUAUGGCUAUGAUUACCUCAGACCCGACGAUGACUUUGCUCAAUGAUGUCAAACCAUACAAAACAUCUUGGAAGGUCGAAGUUAAAGUCCUGCAUUCAUGGACGCAAGAAUUUAGACAAAGUUCAGACUUCUUUCCAUUUAAAAAGAUGAAUAAAAACAUCUAUGUUGAGUUUAAUGAGAUAAACAAAAUCAGGCUUUUUUGUUUAAAAUUAUAACUAAUAUUAAAAUAAAUCUAAUCUCAGUUAAUUUAAAUUGACCAUAUAUUUUUAAAACAUAGUAAAGUAUAUCUUAAAUGUAGGGACCCGAAAAAUAUUUUUCCCAAAUAUGUUAAUAAUAGAUUUAAAUAACAUAUAAAUAUAUUUUAAAGAACAUAUAUAACAAAAAAAAAAUACUAUGUACAAUAUUAAAAAUUUCUGCACACAAAAAAUCACCAUGUACAAUAUAUGUUGUAACAACAUCACAGUUCAAUAUAUCUUUAAAACGUAUUAUUUACAAGUCACUAACAUUAAAAUAUUAUAUAAAUAUAAUAUAUUACUAAAUAUUUUUUAAAAAAAUUUGGCAGAACCAUAUCCGCGCACAGCGCGGGUCCGUAUCUAGUUUUAUGUUAAAAAAUUACCUUGUUCUUUUGGAUAUGAACCAUUUCUCCGUAUAAAACUCGUGAUAAUAUUAUUUAUUAUAUUUCACGAAAAUCAACUUACACAAAGAAAUGUAACACG